UGCAGAGGUCCCAAGCGUUGUUCGGAUUCAUUGGGCGUAAAGGGUGCGUAGGUGGCGUCGUAAGUCGGGUGUGAAAUCUCGGGGCUUAACUCCGAAACUGCAUUCGAUACUGCGGUGCUUGAGGACUGGAGAGGAGACUGGAAUUUACGGUGUAGCAGUGAAAUGCGUAGAGAUCGUAAGGAAGACCAGUGGCGAAGGCGGGUCUCUGGACAGUUCCUGACGCUGAGGCACGAAGGUCAGGGGAGCAAACGGG
rnacentral:rRNA from 1 species